CUGCCGCCUUGCAGUUUGAUCUCAGACUGCUGUGCUAGCAAUCAGCGAGACUCCGUGGGCGUAGGACCCUCCGAGCCAGGGAUAUAUUCUCCCGGUGUGCCGUUUUUUAAGCCUGUCGGAAAAGCGCAGUAUUCGGGUGGGAGUGACCCGAUUUUGCGGUCUGUCACCCCUUUCUUUGACUAGGAAAGGGAACUCCCUGACCCCUUGCGCUUCCCGAGUGAGGCAAUGCCUCACCCUGCUUCCACACGGUGCGCGCACCCACUGACCUGCGCCCACUGUCUGGCACUCCCUAGUGAGAUGAACCCAGUACCUCAGAUGGAAAUGCAGAAAUCACCUGUCUUCUGCGUGGCUCACGCUGGGAGCUGUAGACCUGAGCUGUUCCUAUUCGGCCAUCUUGGCUCCUCCCCACCCUAGUCUGAAACAGAGGUCAACCCACACCUUGAUUUCAACUUGGCAAAACCUUAAGCAGAGGACUCAGCGAACAUGUGCUUGGACUUCUGAACUACAGAACUGUGAGAUAAUAAAUUGGUGUAAUUAUAAGUUGCUAAAUUUGUAGUCAUAUAUUAUCUGAAAUAGAAAACAAGUGCAAUCAUUUAGCACAUUAAUAAGUAUUUACUUUUAUUCAGGAAUUAUGUAACUUUAUUUAGUAUUUGCUUAGUAAUAAUUAUUGUGAGUUUUUGAGCAUGGGAACUAUGUCUUAUUAUCUUUUUUAUGCUCAAUCCCUAUCAGAAGUUGUGUAUUAAAUAAAUAUUUGUCAAACAAAUAAACAAAUGGUGCCUAGUUUCCUCUUGUUGCUUAGGGUCCCAUAAUAGAACUAACUACAUAAGUCCAAUUUCCCCAGGUAAUGUCCCAAGUCCUGAAUCUCUCCAUCCUGCUUUUUAACCUAUCCAAAUUUACCUGCUGGCUGAUUUUGGUUAUUAGAUACCAAUUUUGUGCGUUUCAUAUUAAUAUCUGCUGUUCUUUCUUAAUUAGAAACUGGAAAGAGAAUUAAACACUAAUGCCCUAAGACAUCUCUUUCAUGUAAUAAAACAACUUAUAUUCUGUGCAUCUAUAAUGGUUCUAGUUCCUUACCAACUUUGAAAAGAUUGAGAAAAAAUCCACUCAAAUUCUUUUUAGUCUUCUGUGUUUUAGAUGAGGAUAGGAUCAUCCUAAACGCGAAUGGCUUCAUGUGCCAUAUUUUUCAGUACCAGGUGAUAUGGUUAGGCUUUAUGUCCCCACCCAAACCUCAUCUUGAAUUGUAAUUCCCAUAAUCCGUACUUGUCUAGGGAGAUACCUGGUGGGAGGUGAUUGGAUCAUGGGGGCUGUUUUCCCCAUGCUGUUCUCAUGAUA
rnacentral:lncRNA from 1 species